UACAGAGACUGCGAGCGUUAUUCGGAUUCACUGGGCGUAAAGGGUGCGCAGGCGGCCAAGUGUGUGAGGCGUGAAAGCCCGGGGCUUAACCUCGGAAUUGCACCUCAAACUACAUGGCUAGAGUACUGGAGAGGGUAACGGAAUUCACGGUGUAGCAGUGAAAUGCGUAGAUAUCGGGAGGAACACCAGUGGCGAAGGCGAUCAUCUGGGGUUGUUCUGACACUGAGGAGCGAAAGCUAGGGGAGCAAACGGG
rnacentral:rRNA from 1 species